GUAGGUGGCAAGCGUUGUCCGGAAUUAUUGGGCGUAAAGCGCGCGCAGGCGGUUCUUUAAGUCUGAUGUGAAAGCCCACGGCUCAACCGUGGAGGGUCAUUGGAAACUGGAGAACUUGAGUACAGAAGAGGAAAGCAGAAUUCCACGUGUAGCGGUGAAAUGCGUAGAGAUGUGGAGGAACACCAGUGGCGAAGGCGGCUUUCUGGUCUGUAACUGACGCUGAGGCGCGAAAGCGGUGGGGGAGGCAAACAGGAUUAGAUACCCUGGUAGUCCACGCCGUAAACCGAUGAGUGCUAAGUGGUUUAGGGGGUUUCCGCCCCUUAGUGCUGCAGCUAACGCAUUAAGCACUCCGCCUGGGAGUACGGCCGCAAGGCUG
rnacentral:rRNA from 1 species